rnacentral:rRNA from 1 species
ACAGGUGCUGCAUGGCUGUCGUCUAGCUCGUGUCGUGAGAUGUUCGGUUAAGUCCGCUAACGAGCGCAACCCUCGCUGUGUGUUAUAUGUGUCACACGGGACUGCCGGUCUUAAGCCGGAGGAAGGUGGGGAUGAUGUCAAGUCAGCAUGGCCUUUAUAUCCUGGGCUACACACACGCUACAAUGGCCAACACAAUAGGUUGCUAAGCCGCGAGGUGGCGCCAAUCCAUAAAGUUGGUCUCAGUUCAGAUUGUAGGCUGCAACCCGCCUGCAUGAAGAUGGAGUUGCUAGUAACCGCAGGUCAGCUAUACUGCGGUGAAUACGUUCCCGGGGCCUU